rnacentral:lncRNA from 1 species
UUUGGACGCAGGCUCAGUGUUUAGUCCCAGCGUUCGGUGGAGUCCGGAGAGACUCAGGAUCAGAUGAGUCGGGGUCUGGAUGUGGCUCCAAGUGAAAGGCCUGUGGGGUCCACCUAGGUCCGUGCAGGUUACAAAUGGCAACCAGAACAGGGACUCCAAGCACGCCCAACUAGCAGCAUCCAAUCAUGGGACUUCAAAGACGUGAAUGAAGAAGGUCUGCUGGAGCAGAGGAACUGAAACUGACUAGGCGAAAGGGGACCCGGGGAAGAGUCUGCCGGCAGCAGAUAUAAGUCUGUAAAAUCGGAUGGACCGCCAAUCGGAGAAUGAGAGCUGCCCAGCCUGGUCUUACAUUCUUUCAAUUAAUACAUAAACAGAAAGGGGGAUAUGCAGGGAGCCGAAGGCCCAUGGGACGUGACCAACUCAGCAUUCCACUGGAGGCUAUAUGAUCAAACAGCAAACUGUUUAUCAUGAAUACAGGAUGUGGGCAAACUCAGGACUGCUCCUGCCAACAUAAGGUUUGCUGGAGGCAAUCACUCCCUGGCACGGAGGUUAUCUACUGCGACAUCUAGAGAAUGCAGUCCUGCAAGCCUACUCUGAACUGAGCAGCUGACCCCUUCUUCCACCCCCCCCCACCCUCCUAUCUCUUUUGCCUAAUAAAUACGGAGGGCUGUGUAAAGCUCAGGGCCCUUGUCCACUAGAGGCAAGGUGCUCCCUGACCCCUUCUCCCAAAU